GUUAAAAAGCUCGUAGUUGGAUUUCUGUUGAGGAUGACCGGUCCGCUCUUUGAGCGCGUAUCUGGUUCAGCCUUGGCAUCCUCUUGGGGAACGCUACUGUGCUUGAUUGCAUGGGGCGGUAUUCAAGACUUUUACUUUGAGGAAAUUAGAGUGUUCACUGCAAGCGUUAGCAAUUGAAUACAUUAGCAUGGAAUAAUAAUAUAGGACCUUGGUACUAUUUCGUUGGUUUCUAGAACUAAGGUAAUGAUUAAUAGGGACAAUUGGGGGCAUUCGUAUUAACGCGUCAGAGGUGGAAUUCUUAGAUUGCGUUACGACGAACUACUGCGAAAGCAUUUGCCAAGGAUGUUUUCAUUGAUCAAGAACGAAAGUAUGGGGAACGAAGACGCUUAGAUACCGUCGUAGUCUAUACCAUAAACUAUGCCAACUAGAGAUUGGAGGUCGUUCUCUUUAUGCCUCCUUCAGCACCUUAUGAGAAAUCAAAGUCUUUGGGUUCCGGGGGGAGUAUGGUCGCAAGGCUGAAACUUAAAGGAAUUGACGGAAGGGCACCACCAGGAGUGGAGCCUGCGGCUUAAUUUGACUCAACACGGGAAAACUUACCAGGCCCAGACAUAGUAAAGAUUGACAGAUUGAUAGCUCUU
rnacentral:rRNA from 1 species